rnacentral:rRNA from 2 species
CAUUACCGAGUGAGGGCCCUCUGGGUCCAACCUCCCACCCGUGUUUAUUUUACCUUGUUGCUUCGGCGGGCCCGCCUUAACUGGCCGCCGGGGGGCUCACGCCCCCGGGCCCGCGCCCGCCGAAGACACCCUCGAACUCUGUCUGAAGAUUGAAGUCUGAGUGAAAAUAUAAAUUAUUUAAAACUUUCAACAACGGAUCUCUUGGUUCCGGCAUCGAUGAAGAACGCAGCGAAAUGCGAUACGUAAUGUGAAUUGCAAAUUCAGUGAAUCAUCGAGUCUUUGAACGCACAUUGCGCCCCCUGGUAUUCCGGGGGGCAUGCCUGUCCGAGCGUCAUUGCUGCCCUCAAGCCCGGCUUGUGUGUUGGGCCCCGUCCUCCGAUCUCCGGGGGACGGGCCCGAAAGGCAGCGGCGGCACCGCGUCCGGUCCUCGAGCGUAUGGGGCUUUGUCACCCGCUCUGUAGGCCCGGCCGGCGCUUGCCGAUCAACCCAAAUUUUUAUCCAGGUUGACCUCGGAUCAGGUAGGGAUACCCGCUGAACUUAAGCAUAUCAAUAA